AGAGUUUGAUCCUGGCUCAGGACGAACGCUGGCGGCGUGCCUAACACAUGCAAGUCGAACGGGUGAGAUCCUUCGGGGUUUCACUUAGUGGCGAACGGGUGAGUAACGCGUGAGGAACCUCCUUUCAGUGGGGGACAACAGUUGGAAACGACUGCUAAUACCGCAUAAUACAGUUGAGCGCAUCGCUUAACUGUCAAAGCUUUAUGUGCUGAAAGAUGGCCUCGCGUCUGAUUAGAUAGUGGUGGGGUAACGGCCUACCAAGUCGACGAUCAGUAGCCGGUCUGAGAGGAUGAACGGCCAAUUGGGACUGAGAUACGGCCCAGACUCCUACGGGAGGCAGCAGUGGGGAAUAUUGGGCAAGGGGGAAACCCUGACCCAGCAACGCCGCGUGAAGGAAGAAGGCCUUCGGGUUGUAAACUUUUUUACCAGGGACGAAGAACGUGACGGUACCUGGAGAAAAAGCAACGGCUAACUACGUGCAGCAGCCGCGGUAAUACGUAGGUUGCAAGCGUUGUCCGGAUUUACUGGGUGUAAAGGGCGGUAGGCGGAGAUGCAAGUUGGGAGUGAAAUCCCGGGGCUCAACCCCGGAACUGCUUUCAAACUGCAUCCCUUGAGUGUCGGAGAGGCAAGCGGAAUUCCUAGUG
rnacentral:rRNA from 1 species